rnacentral:rRNA from 1 species
UCUACGGGUGGCAGCAGUGGGGAAUAUUGCGCAAUGGGCGAACGCCUGACGCAGCGACGCCGCGUGAGGGAUGAAGGUCUUCGGAUCGUAAACCUCUGUCAGCAGGGAAGAACGGUCACUGUGCUAAUCAGCAGUGAAUUGACGGUACCUGCAAAGGAAGCACCGGCUAACUCCGUGCCAGACGCCGCGGUAAUACGGAGGGUGCGAGCGUUAAUCGGGAUUACUGGGCGUAAAGCGCGCGUAGGCGGUAGGUCAAGUCAAGUGUGAAAGCCCGGCGCUCAACGUGGGAACUGACUUUGAAACUGGCAAACUGGAGUGUGGGAGAGGAUAGUGGAAUUCCAGGUGUAGGAGUGAAAGCCGUAGAUAUCUGGAGGAACAUCAGUGGCGAAGGCGACUAUCUGGCACAUAACUGACGCUGAGGAGCGAAAGCGUGGGUAGCAAACAGGAUUAGAUACCCUGGUAGUC